rnacentral:misc_RNA from 1 species
UAGAAUGAGAAUACGACCGUAAGGGAGUAUUCGAAAAAAGAUAGGGGAUUAGAUGUUGGGUCUAUCUUUUUCCUAAGGGAUAGUCUAACCUCUCUAAUCUUUCUUUCACCUGUGUGAAAUGUUGACUGCCGAUAGGGCAAUGCCAUUUGGUCCUUUCCCAUAUAUGAGAGGGUAGGAUCCUUUAAGGGGUCUAAGUUUUUCUUAGUCUCUCUUAGAGUCCUAGUCUCAAAGAUAAGGGGGGGGCCUAUGGAUAGCCUUAGAAACGUUGAUGUUCCUUAUAAAAUUGUUGACAUACAUUGAGAUGACUCAAUAAAAAAA